UACGUAGGGUGCAAGCGUUGUCCGGAAUUAUUGGGCGUAAAGAGCUUGUAGGCGGUUUGUCGCGUCUGCUGUGAAAUUUCGGGGCUCAACCCCGAACUUGCAGUGGGUACGGGCAGACUAGAGUGUGGUAGGGGAGACUGGAAUUCCUGGUGUAGCGGUGAAAUGCGCAGAUAUCAGGAGGAACACCAGCGGCGAAGGCGCCGCUCUGGGCCGUAACUGACGCUGAGGAGCGAAAGCAUGGGUAGCAAACAGG
rnacentral:rRNA from 1 species